rnacentral:rRNA from 1 species
GCAGUAGCCGCGGUAAUACAGAGGGUGCGAGCGUUAAUCGGAUUUACUGGGCGUAAAGCGUGCGUAGGCGGCUUUUUAAGUAGGAUGUGAAAUCCCUGAGCUUAACUUAGGAAUUGCAUUCGAUACUGGGAAGCUAGAGUAUGGGAGAGGAUGGUAGAAUUCCAGGUGUAGCGGUGAAAUGCGUAGAGAUCUGGAGGAAUACCGAUGGCGAAGGCAGCCAUCUGGCCUAAUACUGACGCUGAGGUACGAAAGCAUGGGGAGCAAACAGGAUUAGAUACCCCCGUAGUCCCUGUCUCUUAUAC